UAUUUCAAUCUCGAUAUCAAACACCACAUACCCUCAAUCUCUGUGAGGUCGAGAUAUAUGUCUGCAGCCCAGGAUUGUUUGGUGAAACCUGUAAUAGAUUUUGUCACUGCGCUAAAGAGGAGUGUGACCAUGUAAGUGGUGUGUGUCCUGGAGACUGUAGACCGGGCUGGCAGGGCGACAGGUGUGAUACAGAAUGUGAUGCUGGUCACUACGGAGUCAACUGUGUGAACACAUGUACUAACAGGAAGUGUUUUGAUGUCAUAUCGUCAUGUGAUCGCCACAUCGGGUCAUGUGACAGGGGAUGUCUUCCUGGUUGGAGAGGUGUGGACUGUACACAAGAAUGUAGCAGCGGAACCUAUGGUCAGUACUGCAGCAUGGCGUGUUCAGA